GACGUAGGAUGCGAGCGUUGUCCGGAUUCAUUGGGCGUAAAGAGUUCGUAGGCGGUUUAUUAAGUCUGAUGUUAAAGAUCAGGGCCCAACCCUGGAGGUGCAUUGGAUACUGGUAGACUGGAGUGCAGUAGAGGCGAGUGGAAUUCCCAGUGUAGCGGUGAAAUGCGUAGAUAUUGGGAAGAACACCGGUGGCGCAGGCGACUCGCUGGGCUGUAACUGACGCUGAGGAACGAAAGCUAGGGGAGCAAAUGGG
rnacentral:rRNA from 1 species